UGCAUAUGCUGUAAACCGCCUCUC
rnacentral:siRNA from 1 species